rnacentral:rRNA from 1 species
GACGAACGCUGGCGGCGUGCUUAACACAUGCAAGUCGAACGAAGUGGCGAACGGGUGAGUAAUACGUGGGUAACCUGCCCUCCUUUAUGGGAUAAGCCUUGGAAACGGGGUAUAAUACCGAAUAAAGGGGGAUGGGCUAGCGGCCUAUCAGCUUGUUGGUGGGGUGAUAGCCUACCAAGGCGGUGACGGGUGGCCGGCCUGGGAGGGUGACCGGGCACAUAGGGACUGUGAUACUGCCCAGGCUCGUACGGGGGGCGGCAUUGGGGGAGAUUGCACAAAGGGCGAAAGCGUGAUGCAGCGACGCCGCGUGAGGGAUGAGGGCUUUCGGGUUGUAAACCUCUUGCGCAAUCGAACGGGUAGGUAGAGAAGAAGCGCCGGCUAACUACGUGCCAGCCGCCGCGGUAAUUC